rnacentral:rRNA from 1 species
AAUAAGGUUAGUGGCGGACGGGUGAGUAACGCGUGGGCAACCUGGCCUGUACAGGGGGAUAACACUUAGAAAUAGGUGCUAAUACCGCAUAACGGGAGAAGCCGCAUGGCUUUUUCCUGAAAACUCCGGUGGUACAGGAUGGGCCCGCGUCUGAUUAGCCAGUUGGCAGGGUAACGGCCUACCAAAGCGACGAUCAGUAGCCGGCCUGAGAGGGCGGACGGCCACACUGGGACUGAGACACGGCCCAGACUCCUACGGGAGGCAGCAG